rnacentral:rRNA from 1 species
CCUACGGGAUGCAGCAGUAGGGAAUCUUCGGCAAUGGACGAAAGUCUGACCGAGCAACGCCGCGUGAGUGAAGAAGGUUUUCGGAUCGUAAAACUCUGUUGUUAGAGAAGAACAAGUAGGAGAGUAACUGCUCUUACCUUGACGGUAUCUAACCAGAAAGCCACGGCUAACUACGUGCCAGCAGCCGCGGUAAUACGUAGGUGGCAAGCAUUGUCCGGAUUUAUUGGGCGUAAAGCGAGCGCAGGCGGUCUUUUAAGUCUGAUGUGAAAGCCCUCGGCUCAACCGAGGAAGGUCAUUGGAAACUGGAGGACUUGAGUGCAGAAGGGGAGAGUGGAAUUCCACGUGUAGCGGUGAAAUGCGUAGAGAUGUGGAGGAACACCAGUGGCGAGGCGGCUCUCUGGUCUGUAACUGACGCUGAGGCGCGAAAGCGUGGGGAGCAAACAGGAUUAGAUACCCUUGUAGUC